GUCAUCAAAAAUUGAUGGCAAAGCAAGGAUUUUUUAGCUCCCUUGUAGAUAUUUUUGUCCGAGUGAUGGGUGAUGUGUUUCCUGAGCUGAAGGACAAUGAAAAGAAGAUUAAAGCUAUUAUUAAAGAAGAAGAUGCAAGCUUUGAGAACACUCUAGCGAAGGGAUAUGAGAGAUUUAGGAAAGCUGCAGAUGUUGUCAAGGAGAAUGGCAGGGCAAUACUUAGUGGCCAGGCAAUAUUUGCACUACAUUAUUAUAGUCAAUCAUUUGUUAGCUGCAAGUAAAUAUAUGACCUUUGCAUUGUUGAAUUACAGGACACCUACGAGAAUGUGGUUCAGAAACAUAGUAAGUUAAAGAAGGAGGUCGGUCACUGAAGGAUAAGUAUGAUAAACAGAAGUGUCACAACUCAAGGGCGGAGGCCGACAUUGAUCGGGGCCUGCUUGAGCUAAGGGCUAGGGCGAGGGACAUGACGGCGUCA